rnacentral:rRNA from 1 species
UGUGCCGGUUGUCGCGCCAGCGGCAGUGCCGGGUAGCUAUGUCCGGUUGGGAUAACCGCUGAAAGCAUCUAAGCGGGAAGCCCGCCUCAAGAUAAGAUCUCCCGGAGGGUAACCUCCCUAAAGGCCACUCAUAGACGAUGAGUUUGAUAGGCUGGAUGUGGAAGAGCCGUAAGGCUUGAAGCUAACCAGUACUAAUCGGCCGUGCGACUUAACAUC